CUUCUGUAGGUGUGACCUGCGGAAGGAUCAUUAA
rnacentral:rRNA from 1 species